rfam:Rattus norvegicus chromosome 9, whole genome shotgun sequence.
GGGGAUUUAGCUCAGUGGCAGAGCGCUUGCCUAGCGAGCACAAGGCCCUGGGUUCGGUCCCCAGCUCCG